GCUGAUUGAACCAUUAGUUGUUCUCCCUUUUCAUUACAGUGGCCGGGUCUGGCUGUUAGGCUGACUAGAUUGAAGAUGUACAUAAAUACCAAAAUGUAACCAAAGCCAACACCAUAUCAUUGGAAGCAUAGACUAACUAAUGAGACCUCCAUACUAGUCAGUUUUUCCACUAUAGAUUCCAAACCCUCAGUGCAGAUAAAGGAAACAUUAAGAAACAAGGCAACAAGAUACCUCCAAAAAUUCUGAACACUGUAAAAGCUGAUCUCACGGAUGAUGGCACUGUCCCUUGCCAAAGACUGUUCCAGCCACUAGAAACCAGGAACCCAACCAGAUGCACUAAAGCCCCUGCCCCGGGGGAGCCUGCAGUCCAACAGCAACCACCAAAGGAGCAAGUUAAGGAACGUGCAGAGAAAGAACACAGAGUCGGGAAUCUGAAGCUACUUGAGUUCUGAGCAGCUGGGCCAGUGAGUGGAUGAAAUGCUGAUGGGCAGGGGAAGCCAUGUCAGCCCUGUGUCUCCACAGCAAGCUGCCUAAGGAAAUUUGUCUGAGGAUGAAGCCAGCAACUGAAAACAAAUUAGAGAUGGAGGGACCGAGUCCGGGAUGUUGCUUGAGCCCUGUGUGCAGGACUGCGGAAGCCAGCUCUAGCCCCUUUGCAAGUCUUGCUUAUUGACUCUUGCUCUUAUGCCAGGAACUAGGAGGAGGGACCACAUGGAGAGAGGGGUAAAGGAGCAAACAAGGAGACGCUCAAAGAAAGUGGGGGACACAUGAGCAGACCCAGACACCACCUUGGAAAAGGCUGCCACUGGUAAAUCUAGG
rnacentral:lncRNA from 1 species